ensembl:lncRNA
CUGGGAGGACGGCAGGCAGGCACCUUACCCUAGUGGUGGCCCUGGCAGAGGGGGACUGGAGUUCAACACCCAGCAGGGGGAAAGAGACCCAGAAUCUGCUGACAAGGACAAAGUGACAGAUAACCUGGCGACUGAACGCUGAUGACUUAAGAGUGACUGACCAAUAGCAUGAGGAACUCCACAAAGCACAACAACAUCUAAAGAUGACUUCCCUGGAGAAGAAGCAAAGACCUGCUAAAAGACCCCCUGCAGAGAAAUGCUUCAGAGCCUCUUCCUACUCCCACUUUCCUCUCUGCUAUUUUACCUCCAGCUUUUUUGUAAGAAAACAAAAACAAAAACAAACACUGACUCAAAUGAUGUAUCAAGAUGAUUGACAACAUCAGAAGAAUAUUACGGGAGAAACCAUUUCCUCUGUAGGGGGGGAGGGGGUAAACAAAACUUUGAUGCAUGUUACUGUAAGUAGUUCAUCUAAAACCUUUUUCCCCCAAGUGGGAUCCUCCACUAAGAAGACUCGUCCAAGUCCAGCGUUCCUGAUUUAGGAUAAAAUACCCAAGCAACCCACCUCCUCCCUCUGAAAUCCCUUACUCUAUCUUCCCUAUCAGAGGUCAUUGUAACUACCAUUGACAAUAUGUUCCUCGUUUUAGAGAACUUACUUCCUGUAUCAUUUUGGAGUUAGUUGGACUGUAAGACUACUAUCGUGUAUACUAUUUGCAUAAUGAACCAGUCUUCCUCUCCAAUGGACAUGAGUGAUGUACUAUAGCAUGGAUCUGACUUUACUGUAUUCCUCAGUAUGCUUGUAGAUCACAAAACUCAUAAUUGUGAAUAGUACAACGAUUACACCUUUUUAAUCCUAGAUUCCUAUCUUUACCAGGCAGUAUUAACUUACUGUAUACUAUGUAGGGCAUUUUGUUGACCUGUACAUUUGACUAAAUGCAUAGAAAUGCAAGUAAUAGCUCAUUGUAUUAUUUGAAUACCUGCAGACAUAUUAGGGAAACAUUUCUGUCUAUAAAGACAAUGGGACUGUGACUAAGUCAUAUAGUGUUGAGUAUAUUAUGAAGGUAGAACCCAGAAUAACGUCUUAGAGAGUAAACAUACUAUAGUAUCCUCAGCAGGGGCCCCGGUGCAUCUAUGUCAUGUGUCUACCUGAGAUCUGUGGGCGGCCAAUCUGGUAUUUGGUUUGUUUCUUUGUUGUUUCCUCAUCCCUUUUGAAUAGCUUGUAUCAAUGGCCCCCCUGGGCUCUGUACUGUGGUCUCUCUCAUGGACCUCUCAUAGGGCAACACAUGUCCUCAGCUAAGGCAGGUGUCUCUAUCUCUCUCUCCCACAUCACCUGGCAUGGUUUACCCAUGUGCUCCUCUGUACGACCAACAAGGAGAACGGAACAUCACAGUAUGAUUUCAAGGUUGCAGAAACCAUAUUGACUUUUGACCUAUCUCAAACUGUCUACUGAAGACAUAACAACAACCAGACCAACUACAGCUGUUGGUGCAAGAGAGGAUACUGUGCAUGGAACGCAACACACGCAAGAUAACCUGAAAGCAUCUUCAUCCUCUUGCAUCCUCUACCUAUCGAUGUGCUUCCAGGACAAACCUGAUACCUAAACAGCCCCUCGCCUGCUCCCACAAUCCUCUCUGCUCCUCCUCUCGCCCAUCCCAGAGACUCGUGAGGAGAGCGCCAGUCGAUCUGUUUAUAAACGUUACGGAUGGACGCUCAUCGUGACGGUUAAAAACAAACAAACACUUACACACGCGCAUACACACAUAUACCCACCCCCACACACAUAAACACUCUCAAAGGGAGACAAGUGGAAUACAGUGGUGUAUGUAUGUAUAUUCUGUAUGUAUAGAACCCUCAGCUGUAAGUAGUGCAUGUUGACAUGUAGAUGAAAAUAUGCAUUGUGAUCAUAAUACCUACCGUAGACAGGCUGGUGGCCGUUGAUUCAGACAGAAGAAGAGACACUCUCUCUAAGCCAAUGGAAGCACUCUAUCCUAUGUUUUCAGGGUACAUACUCUAAGUUUUCUUAAUGACAGAAAAUAUAAUGUGAUGGAAAUACUGUUCCUUUUAAAAAGGACCUCCUAAGCAAAACCACCGAGCUGAAUGGGUUUUAAGCACUUUGAAGGGAUGCAUAACCCCCCCUUUGAUGUCAAAAAGAACCUGGCCAGAGUGAGAGAGC